CGUGGGUAACCUGCCCAAGAGAUCGGGAUAACACCUGGAAACAGAUGCUAAUACCGGAUAACAACAGAUGAUGCCUAUCAACUGUUUAAAAGAUGGUUCUGCUAUCACUCUUGGAUGGACCUGCGGUGCAUUAGCUAGUUGGUAGGGUAACGGCCUACCAAGGCGAUGAUGCAUAGCCGAGUUGAGAGACUGAUCGGCCACAUUGGGACUGAGACAACGGAACCCAAACUCCUACGGGAGGCAGCAGGG
rnacentral:rRNA from 1 species